AUAACUUAGCGGCAGCUGUACUCCCCUGUCGCCAGCUGCCUCCCAAAAUCAUUUCAAGGCGGCACCAAGGGAAGCCACCCAGACGCUCAGCACAUACAACAGUCGGUCAAAGAAGCCCCACGGAACAACCCACAUCGUAGAUGCCACACAGGCAGCCGUGGAAAGAAUUCUGGAGUCGAGUCAACGUGGCUCCGCCACCUGCCGCCUUCGGGCUGGUGACCUUGGGUGAGUGGCUGAGACUCCUGUGGCCUCAACUUAAGCUCUCCUGUGCUGGAAGCCUUCUGUUUGCCCUCCAGACCGCUCCCCACUUUCCCUCCCCCUCCCCCCACCUCUUCUCUGCCUGGCCCGGGAGGCGGCCUCUGGCUUGCUGGCUUGUGGCACUACCGGGGGCUCCAAAGGUGGCCAGAGCAGGUAGGACUUGGGCUCCCCAGCUCUUUCCCUGCCAGGGUGUGGCUUGGCUUUAACUACCAUUGUCACUUUCUCCAUGGUCACCUCC
rnacentral:lncRNA from 1 species